UAUGGUUAGUUUUGCAGGUUUGCAUCCAGCUUUUCUCUGGCUUGCUGUGCAAAUCCAUGCAAAACUGAUUAUGGC
rnacentral:pre_miRNA from 1 species